AACAGGUGCUGCAUGGCUGUCGUCAGCUCCGUGUCGUGAGAUGUUCGGUUAAGUCCGCUAACGAGCGCAACCCUCGCUGUGUGUUACAAGUGUCACACGGAACUGCCGGUCAUAAACCGGAGGAAGGUGGGGAUGACGUCAAGUCAGCAUGGCCUUUAUAUCCUGGGCUACACACACGCUACAAUGGGAAGGGACAAUAGGUUGCGAAACCGCGAGGUGGAGCCAAUCCAGCAAAACUUCCCUCAGUUCAGAUUGCAGGCUGCAACUCGCCUGCAUGAAGUUGGAGUUGCUAGUAAACGCAGGUCAGCCAUACUGCGUUGAAUACGUUCCCGGGGCUU
rnacentral:rRNA from 1 species